rnacentral:lncRNA from 1 species
GCUCUGGAGAUGGACGGUAGGCAUGGUAGGACAACGUGAAUGUACUUACUGCCCCAGAACUGUACUCAUGAACGUGGUGAAAAUGGCAACAGAAAACGGCUAGUCUGUGUAAGCGAAGGGGAAGGACGUGGACCCUGGGGUGCCUCGCAGGGUGGCAAGAGACUUGACCGGCUGGGCUCCGGAGGGCAGGGCCCGGAGCUUUCUCCGCGAGAAGCGCCUGCAGGAACGAACCCCAGCUCUCAUCCUACGCCGGCCCUGGCUCUCUCGGGUCUCAUGUUCAGAUUCCCAGGAGAGAGGCUCUGCAUGGACUCACCUGGAUCACUGGGCGGUGGUCAGGGGUCAGGGUCACUGGUACAGAUGGGGAGGGACCAUUUUGCAUCCUGCGGAGGAGUCCAGACCUGUCCCACUGUCUGUGCUGGUCUCCGGCCUCCCUGCUGGGGCCUUCCUCCUUGGCUCUCAGGUAGCUUUGGGCGAGUCAGCCCUGGGGGAACCUGAAGGCAUGAUUUGCGUUUUAAUUAAAGAGGUGCAGAGCCCAAAGGCCUUGGGGUCCUACAGGGCUGGUUCCCCCAAAUGCCGGAAAGCAUGUGCUCUGUAGCAGAUGGGAUGCCCAUGGUAAGGGGCCCACGCCGGGUACCUCCCGACACACCGCCCCGGGGUGCCUCCAACUUCUGCCUUUGGCUUCCUCGUGUUCCCCCCAACUCCCUUCCAUCUCCCUCUCCA